rnacentral:rRNA from 1 species
UACAGAGGUCCCAAGCGUUGUUCGGAUUCACUGGGCGUAAAGGGUGCGUAGGUGGUCGGGUAAGUCUAAUGUGAAAUCUCCAAGCUCAACUUGGAAACUGCAUCGGAUACUAUUCGGCUAGAGGGUUGGAGGGGGGACUGGAAUACUUGGUGUAGCAGUGAAAUGCGUAGAUAUCAAGUGGAACACCAGUGGCGAAGGCGAGUCCCUAGACAACUCCUGACACUGAGGCACGAAAGCUAGGGGAGCAAACAGG